UGCCCCCUGGCCCAGCUGGUUAAGGCGCACGACUGUUAAGCGCACAUCGUGAGAGCGUGAGUUCGAUCCUCACGGGGGCAG